GUUGAAACACUAGUUCCCAUGCAAUCACCAAAGUUAAGCAACGUCAUGCAUGGUCAGUACCUAAAUGGGUGACCUCUCAGGAAUAACAGGUGUUAUA